UAUCUGGUUGAUCCUGCCAGUAGUCAUAUGCUUGUCUUAAAGAUUAAGCCAUGCAUGUCUAAGUAUAAGCAUUUAUACCGCGAGACUGCGAACGGCUCAUUAAAACAGUUAUGGUUUAUUUGAUGGUUCCUUUGCUACUUGGAUAACCGUAGUAAUUCUAGAGCUAAUACAUGCACGAAGGGGCGACUCACGAAGCCCUGUAUUUAUUAGAUUAAAACCAACCACCUCCGGGUGUUCGUGGUGAAUCAUAGUAACUUCUCGGAUCGCCGGCUCAACGCCAGCGACGUGUCAUUCAAAUUUCCGCCCUAUCAGCUUUAGAUGGUAGGAUAUGGGCCUACCAUGGCGGUGACGGGUAACGGAGAAUUAGGGUUCGAUUCCGGAGAGGGAGCCUGAGAAACGGCUACCACUUCUAAGGAAGGCAGCAGGCGCGCAAAUUACCCAAUCCUGACUCAGGGAGGUAGUGACAAGAAAUAACAAUAAACCGGCUUAUGCCGGUUUAAUUGGAAUGAGUACAAUUUAAACAUCUUAACGAGGAACAAUUGGAGGGCAAGUCUGGUGCCACAGCCCGCGGUAAUUCCAGCUCCAAUAGCGUAUCUAAAGUUGUUGCAGUUAAAAACUCGUAGUUGGAUUCUGCGGGGGCGGGGCGGCCGAUCGCCACUGGCGAGCCGAGCUAGCACUU
rnacentral:rRNA from 1 species